rnacentral:rRNA from 1 species
CCUACGGGUGGCAGCAGUGAGGAAUAUUGGUCAAUGGGAGGAAUCCUGAACCAGCCAUGCCGCGUGCAGGACGACGGCUCUACGAGUUGUAAACUGCUUUUGUACCGGGGUAAAAUGCUCUACGAGUAGGGUUUUGAAAGUACGGUACGAAUAAGGAUCGGCUAACUCCGUGCCAGCAGCCGCGGUAAUACGGAGGAUUCGAGCGUUAUCCGGAUUUAUUGGGUUUAAAGGGUGCGUAGGUUGUUUUAUAAGUUAGCGGUGAAAUACCGAUGCUCAACAUCGGGGCUGCCGCUAAUACUGUACGACUAGAGAUCGGAUGCAGCAGGCGGAAUGUGUGGUGUAGCGGUGAAAUGCAUAGAGAUCACACAGAACACCGAUUGCGAAGGCAGCUUGCUAGGCUGCAUCUGACACGGAUGCACGAAAGCGUGGGGAGCGAACAGGAUUAGAUACCCUGGUAGUC